UUCGCAAUGCCCGAAAGGGUGACGAAGCGACGCCGCGUGGGUGAGGAAGGCCUUCGGGUUGUAAAACCCUGUCAGGAGUUAAGAAGUGUAAGUGUGCUAAUAUCGUGCUUAUUUGACAAAGGCUCCAAAGGAAGCCACGGCUAACUCUGUGCCAGCAGCCGCGGUAAUACAGAGGUGGCGAGCGUUGUUCGGAAUUAUUGGGCGUAAAGAGCACGUAGGUGGGUUUGCAAGUCAGAUGUGAAAGCCUUCUGUUCAACGGAAGAAUUGCAUCUGAAACUGCUAAUCUUGAGUAUAGAGGGGAGAAUGGAACUUCUGGUGGAGCGGUGAAAUGCGUAGAUAUCAGAAGGAACGCCGGCGGCGAAAGCGAUUCCCUGGCCUAUUACUGACACUCAGUGUGCGAAAGCUAGGGGAGCAAACGGGAUUAGAUACCCCGGUAGUCCUAGCCGUAAACGAUGGGCACUAAGUAGAGGGGUUUU
rnacentral:rRNA from 2 species